UCCCUGGUGGCCCAGUGGUUAGGAAUCCACACUCUCACUGCCGUGGGUCCAGGUUCAAUCCCUGGCCAAGGAA
rfam:Ovis aries breed Texel chromosome 14, whole genome shotgun sequence.